rnacentral:ncRNA from 2 species
AAUGGAUGCUAGGGGAGCUUCGUAUGAGGCUGAGAGGGGAUUAGUUCCCGACCCUUGGAACCUGUCAGGAUAAUGCCUGCGUAGGGAAGCAUCAAAGUGUUUGA